AACAACAGGGAUUGCCCAAGUAACGGCGAUGUGAAUCGGCAACAGCUCAAAUUUGAAAUCUAGGCCCUUGUGGUCCGAGUUGUAAUUUGUARAGGAUGCUUUUGGUGAGGUACUUCCGAUUCCCUGGAACGGGACGCCAUAGAGGGUGAGAGCCCCGUCUGGUUGGAUACCGAUCCUCUGUAAAGCUCCUUCGACGAGUCGAGUAUUUGGGAAUGCUGCUCUAAAUGGGAGGUAUAUGUCUUCUAAAGCUAAAUAUUGGCCAGAGACCGAUAGCGCACAAGUAGAGUUGAUCGAAAGAUGAAAAGCACUUUGAAAAGAGGGUAAAUAGUACGUGAAAUUGGUUGAAAGGGAAGCGCUUGUGACCAGACUUGGGCUUGGUUAAUCAUCCAGGGUUCUCCCUGGUGCACUUGGCCAGCCCAGGCCAGCAUCAGUUUGUCGCGGGGGAUAAAGGCGUUGGGAAUGUGGCUCCCCCGGGAGUGUUAUAGCCCUUCGUGUAAUACCCUGCUUUAGACUGAGGUUCGCGCAUCUGCAAGGAUGCUGGCGUAAUGGUCAUCAGCGACCCGUCUUGAAACACGGACCAAGGAGUCGUCUUCGUAUGCGAGUGUUCGGGUGUCAAACCCCUACGCGUAAUGAAAGUGAACGCAGGUGAGAGCUUCGGCGCAUCAUCGACCGAUCCUGAUGUUCUCGGAUGGAUUUGAGUAAGAGCAUACGGGGCCGGACCCGAAAGAAGGUGAACUAUGCCUGUGUAGGGUGAAGCCAGAGGAAACUCUGGUGGAGGCUCGCAGCGGUUCUGACGUGCAAAUCGAUCGUCAAACAUGGGCAUGGGGGCGAAAGACUAAUCGAACCUUCUAGUAGCUGGUUUCCGCCGAAGUUUCCCUCAGGAUAGCAGUGUUGAACUCAGUUUUAUGAGGUAAAGCGAAUGAUUAGGGACUCGGGGGCGCUAUUUAGCCUUCAUCCAUUCUCAAACUUUAAAUAUGUAAGAAGCCCUUGUUACUUAGUUGAACGUGGGCAUUCGAAU
rnacentral:rRNA from 1 species